CCAUCGUUGAUUUUGAUUUGUAAAAAGAGAAAGUUCUGUCAUUUCAACCCAAUCAACAUAUUUAAGGAAAACGUUUGCUGUGCAUUGUGGCGGGCAUGAACUUUACUGGGUGGGCCUGUCACAACCAGCUGCAAAGAAUGUUUGGGUCUGACUUCUAUACAAAGAGAACCUGGAAGCCCUCACCAAAAACUGUGACUUAUAACAUCAAGACGGGGAGCACUACAAGAUGGACAAAGAGGCAGAAACUUAUUUGCCCUGCUGCGGAUGAAACAAAGUACAAAAGGGGGAGCAUGUGUGCUAACAUGUGAACUUUAAUCAAUGACGGUGGUCAUCCUGGACUUACAAAGAGAGGCUCAAAAGAGACUGUUUCCUAUGGUUACACCCAGUAAAAGAGUGCUUGCUGCAGUCAGGUAAUGAACAAGGCUUUUUGGCAACAACCAGUUGAAUUGAUGAAAUGUCAGAACUGUGGAAAAUUUACUAAACUACUGUAGAACAUAGUUAACUGAGAAAGUUAGCCUAAAAAAAGAUAAUAAUAAUAUCAAUAAAUAAAUAAAUAAUAGGAUUAGUAACCUGGAUUUCAGCCCAACUCACCAUUGGACGUCAAUAUAAUCUUUAUUGUCCUAGGAUUCUCAGCUGCAGCGGACAUGCAGUAAAGCCUUAUUUUCUUUUCAAAACGGAAUACAUCAGCGUCAUCACUUAUUCUCAUUGGUUAAGGAAACGGUGUCUAUUUAUAAGUCUAGGAGAACGCUUUAGGCUUCAACAGUUUUCUCCUUCGAGCAAACAUGCGCAAAUUUCCGGAUAGUUUAUAGUAACGUUCCAUCCCAUUCCAUUCAUUGCAUAAAAAUAAACAUUAAAUGAAUAAUUUGGCAUUCAGCUGACUAAAUGAUUCAUGGAACAUCUCAUCCGAGACAACAGUGUUGUUUCAGCUCCGUUGAGUUUCCCAACAGAUCUAGCCAAACCUAGCUGAUCCUAUAUUUUUCUAUCAGCUGUAAGUUCUAACGUAGAAAAUAAUGUCACAAAAAUAUUGAAUAAUUGUACCCCUCAUUCGAUAAAAAUUAUGUUCACAUUCUUAUCUUGUGAAAUCUUUAACAUAAUAUUUUUAAUUGGCCUUUUUGACGACAAUUGGCUAAAAAGUCUUUAAGAUUAUCAUCACAGGAUGGCAUGAUAAAUAAGUAAAUAACAUAAAUAAAUAAAUAGACAAAAAUAAGAGAGAAAAAGCAAAAUUAAUUAAAUGAAACGUAAUAGUGAUAAAACGUUAAAUUGAUCUAAAAUCUGUCAUUCAGCGCCACUGGAAAAAGGAAGAGGAUAGGGGAGUAUUUCUUAGCACAAAUCACGUUAUUGAUUUAGCAAUGCAGCUUAAUUUCAGAUGCUUUAAGGAUGAUACUAACUUGUGUUAUAGAUGGAGGAGUAGCACAGAAACACUUCUAGAUGAGGAGAUAAGGAAAAAAACUGCUGAUUACCAAUACUAUGCACAAACAAACCUGUAACUGCAGUUUCGUUAUUUAUGAAUUAACCUUAAGUAGUGAAUUAAUUCUUAGGAUUUCUUGUGCGAGUAGUGUUCUUAAAAAAGAAAGAAAGAAAGAAAGAAAGAAAGAAGGUAAGAAAGACAGGUAGUUUAGGUAAGGGACAACCUGAAACUAUUUGGUUGAAUUGAUAGUAAAAGUGGUUGUCCUAAUUUCUAAUUGGAGAGAUCACACCGCAACAUGAGUUUAGAACGGCAGUUAUGGGAAGUUUUGUUGGAUUAAUUUGAUCACACGCUUUAGGUCUUAUUUUUUCUUUCCACUGAUUUAGCGUUAGGUUAAGUGUUUUCACACUUUCGCUUCAGUCUGACAUUUGCUUGGUGUGUGAGGGCACAGAGACGUGUAUGGACCGUGUGUUUGACUGUGUUUGUUUUGUUUGUUUGUUUAUUUAUCUAUAUGGGCGUGGCUGAGCCUUGAGAAACAUCAACAAAGCCAUUGGGCUAUUCUGAGUAAAUUGACCAAUUCAACUUCAGGAUCCUGAAACAAUUUGGCUAUAACCUCUAAUUGAUGAAGGACAUCUUAAGAAUUCAUUGUACAAGGCUUCCUCUCCAGUGUUGCCAGAACUGUUAUAAAACCCAUGCAUGGUUGUAUAUUUUAGUUUGAUCAUUUAUACUCAUUGAAUUAUUGUUGUUUGCUUUAUGUUUUAAUUUCUUUGUAAUUUUUUCUCUGUGACACAGGUGGAGAUGCUGGUGGCGAAGUGGAUCCCACUCAUUUCUUUCUCCCACACACAUUCUUACUCUCUCCCUCUCUCUGUGUGUGUAUGUGCAUGUGUAUGUGUUUGUGUGUCUGUGUGUGUCCAUGUCGUGAUGUCACUGUACCUUUAAUUGCGCUUGCUGUUCGUAACUGUAUGUGUCUGAUGUUGAAGGUAUCAGAGGCUAGGGUCAGUAAGAGCUAGGACAUUUUUGUGCAUAACCUUUAAUCCCUAGGCGAUCGGUUCGGGGAACUUCUGGUCCGGCCGGAGUGUGAAUCUUCCUACCAACUAUCUGCCAAGAUCAAUUGGACUGCACAAGCCGAGAAAGCCUUCAUUGGACCAAAACUACACACACGAAGAGGCUUCGCCUUCGGUGCCAGGCGUCUGGGUCCUGCUAAAAGUCACCAAAAGGAAGUGGACGGAACCAAGGUGGACCGGGCCAUACAGGAUCACGGAGAGGACAUCACACGCUGUCCGGCUGGACGGGAGGAGCCUAACCUGGAAGAGAAGCAGCCGACAUCUGCCUGACCAGAAGAAGUACCCAAGGACCAGGACGAGAAGCAGCUGACAUCUGACCAACCAGAGAAAGGAUCCAAAAACCAGGAAGAGAAGUAGCUGACUGCAGUAGCAUGCCAAGCUGCCACCACAUCCUGCAGGACGAGAAUCGUGACAUCAUCACCCCCUGCAGCUGCCUGGAGCCAGUGAAGGGACCUCAACAGGGGGAAGAAGUAACCACCCUAUGAACAUUCUACAAGGGUUCUAUUUAACACCCUCAUUUAUUUUACAAGGGUAAUAUUUUACACCCUCCACCUGCUGAC